rnacentral:tRNA from 1 species
UGGCUGAGAGGUAAAGCGCUUGGUUUCUGAAUAGGGGAUCUCGGGUUCGAAUCCUGG